GGGAAUGUGGCUUAGUGGUAGAGUGCUUGCCUGGCAUGCAUGAAGCCCAGGUACAAUUCCUCAGUAUACACA
rnacentral:tRNA from 1 species